rnacentral:rRNA from 1 species
AACGAACGCUGGCGGCAUGCCUAACACAUGCAAGUCGAACGAGACCUUCGGGUCUAGUGGCGCACGGGUGCGUAACACGUGGGAAUCUUCCCUUUGCUUCGGAAUAACAGUUAGAAAUGACUGCUAAUACCGGAUGAUGUCGAAAGACCAAAGAUUUAUCGGCAAAGGAUGAGCCCGCGUAGGAUUAGGUAGUUGGUGGGGUAAAGGCCUACCAAGCCGACGAUCCUUAGCUGGUCUGAGAGGAUGAUCAGCCACACUGGGACUGAGACACGGCCCAGACUCCUACGGGAGGCAGCAGUGGGGAAUAUUGGACAAUGGGCGAAAGCCUGAUCCAGCAAUGCCGCGUGAGUGAUGAAGGCCUUAGGGUUGUAAAGCUCUUUUACCAGGGAUGAUAAUGACAGUACCUGGAGAAUAAGCUCCGGCUAACUCCGUG